rnacentral:pre_miRNA from 1 species
AUAAUACUCCCUCCGUCCGGAAAUACUUGUCGAAGGAAUGGAUGUAUCUAGACGUAUUUUAAUUCUAGAUGCAUCCAUUUUUAUGCAUUUCUUCGACAAGUAUUUCCGGACGGAGGGAGUACUAA